rnacentral:rRNA from 1 species
GGGCCCGCACAAGCAGCGGAGCGUGUUGCUUAAUUCGAUGCAACGCGAAGAACCUUACCAGGGUUUGACAUCCUGCGAAUCUCUUGGAAACGAGAGAGUGCCUUCGGGAACGCAGUGACAGGUGGUGCAUGGCUGUCGUCAGCUCGUGUCGUGAGAUGUUGGUUAAGUCCCGCAACGAGCGCAACCCACGUCGUUAGUUGCCAGCAUUUAGUUGGGCACUCUAGCGAGACCGCCGGUGAUAAACCGGAGGAAGGUGUGGAUGACGUCAAGUCAUCAUGCCCCUUACAUCCUGGGCUACACACGUACUACAAUGCUACGGACAAAGGGCAGCAAACUCGCGAGAGCUAGCA